rnacentral:rRNA from 1 species
GACGAACGCUGGCGGCGUGCUUAACACAUGCAAGUCGAACGGAAAGGAACCUUUGGGGGUACUCAAGAGACGAACAGACAAGUAACACGUAACCAACCUACCCUAAACUUCGGGAUAACUUCAGGAAACUGGGGCUAAUACCGGAUAGGAAUCCUUGCUGCAUGGUGGGGGUUGGAAAGCUUCGGCGGUUUUGGAUGGACUCGCGGCCUAUCAGCUUGUUGGUGGGGUAGUGGCUUACCAAGGCUUUGACGGGUAGCCGGCCUGAGAGGGCGACCGGCCACAUUGGGACUGAGAUACGGCCCAGACUCCUACGGGAGGCAGCAGUGGGGAAUAUUGCACAAUGGGCGGAAGCCUGAUGCAGCAACGCCGCGUGCGGGAUGACGGCCUUCGGGUUGUAAACCGCUUUCAGCAGGGGCGAAGCUUGUGGUGACGGUACCUGCAGAAGAAGCACCGGCUAACUACGU